UGUCAAGAUCUCGUGUCCUAGGUCUUUAAAUACUCAGAGUUGUAGACGAGUCAGUCAUUGCAUCAACCUGAUCCAGUCUGUCAAUCUUUUGAUUGUUUCCAAAGCUGCUGAUCUCCACUGUCUAAGCCUGUUUUAAGAUGCGUUCUCUGAUUCUUCUUGUACUUGUUGCUGCCAUAGGAUUGGCUGCGGCUCUAUGGAGUGAAUCUUCUUGCAAUGAAGAAGGUGUACAGCUUCCUGAAUGUGUAACUGAAUAUUUGAUGUGUAAAGAAAACGUUGUCUCUGUGCUCAAAGCGAUAGUGCUUAGAUACGAUGCAAGUGUUAUCCUUCAAUCAAUGAAGGAAGCAGGUUUGUUGCAAAAGAUCGACCGGCUAGCAGCAAACGUUGUCGAUCAAGUGUAUGCAAUCGUGCAGGACGUACCUAUUGAAGAUACCAAAAAUACACUUGAAGGACUGCAAGGACAAAUACUGUUUUGAGAUUUGAAACAAAAUUCAGUGUAUGACAAAAUAAAAUAUAUUAAGUUUAUGGUGUCCACCACAAUGUUCACUUUUGGCAAACAGUAGUUACAAAUUAAAAGUGCAAAAAAUAAUUA